ACAGUUCGAAGCAAAACCAGAGUAAUCGGCAGAAACUCCUCGGCGGAGAAGAAGGAGACGAAUCAGCCGAUCUCAAAUCUCAAUCUACUUUCUCUAUUGUUUGCUGGGAUGUUCUCUUGAUUCUCUCUUGUUGUUACUGCUGUUUCUGCUGCGGAGGUUGCAUUGAUCAUGAAGAAGAUUGAUGGGGCCCAAACAAUCCAUGGUUCUGAAAACCCAGAUUGUGCCAAUCAGUUGUUGAAGAAGAAGAAGAAGACCCGCCGGUUGACAAAAGACAAGGUUGUGUAAAGAAAAAGAUAAAAGUUGUCACACCCUUUCAUCCUCUAAUUAAUAUGAUUUGAUUUAGUUAAUUUGAUUUUUACAUUAAAAUAAGUGUAAAAGCUUUUAUACAUAGAAAUCAUAAUCGUUUAAUCCAUUAGUUAUGGUCUUUGAUAUA